UUUGGUUAAGUUAGAAAGGGCGCACGGUGGAUGCCUUGACACUAGGAGUCGAUGAAGGACGGGACUAACGCCGAUAUGCUUCGGGGAGCUGUAAGUAAGCUUUGAUCCGAAGAUUUCCGAAUGGGGAAACCCACCAUACGUAAUGGUAUGGUAUCCUUAUCUGAAUACAUAGGGUAAGGAAGACAGACCCAGGGAACUGAAACAUCUAAGUACCUGGAGGAAGAGAAAGCAAAUGCGAUUUCCUGAGUAGCGGCGAGCGAAACGGAACAUAGCCCAAACCAAGAGGCUUGCCUCUUGGGGUUGUAGGACAUUCUAUACGGAGUUACAAAGGAACGAGGUAGACGAAGCGACCUGGAAAGGUCCGUCGUAGAGGGUAACAACCCCGUAGUCGAAACUUCGUUCUCUCUUGAAUGUAUCCUGAGUACGGCGGAACACGUGAAAUUCCGUCGGAAUCUGGGAGGACCAUCUCCCAAGGCUAAAUACUCCCUAGUGAUCGAUAGUGAACCAGUACCGUGAGGGAAAGGUGAAAAGCACCCCGGAAGGGGAGUGAAAGAGAUCCUGAAACCGUGUGCCUACAAAUAGUCAGAGCCCGUUAACGGGUGAUGGCGUGCCUUUUGUAGAAUGAACCGGCGAGUUACGAUCCCGUGCGAGGUUAAGCUGAAGAGGCGGAGCCGCAGCGAAAGCGAGUCUGAAUAGGGCGUUUAGUACGUGGUCGUAGACCCGAAACCAGGUGAUCUACCCAUGUCCAGGGUGAAGUUCAGGUAACACUGAAUGGAGGCCCGAACCCACGCACGUUGAAAAGUGCGGGGAUGAGGUGUGGGUAGCGGAGAAAUUCCAAUCGAACCUGGAGAUAGCUGGUUCUCCCCGAAAUAGCUUUAGGGCUAGCCUUAAGUGUAAGAGUCUUGGAGGUAGAGCACUGAUUGGACUAGGGGUCCUCAUCGGAUUACCGAAUUCAGUCAAACUCCGAAUGCCAAUGACUUAUCCUUAGGAGUCAGACUGCGAGUGAUAAGAUCCGUAGUCAAAAGGGAAACAGCCCAGACCGCCAGCUAAGGUCCCAAAGUGUGUAUUAAGUGGAAAAGGAUGUGGAGUUGCUUAGACAACUAGGAUGUUGGCUUAGAAGCAGCCACCAUUUAAAGAGUGCGUAAUAGCUCACUAGUCGAGUGACUCUGCGCCGAAAAUGUACCGGGGCUAAAUACACCACCGAAGCUGCGGAUUGAUACCGAAUGGUAUCAGUGGUAGGGGAGCGUUCUAAGGACAGUGAAGUCAGACCGUAAGGACUGGUGGAGUGCUUAGAAGUGAGAAUGCCGGUAUGAGUAGCGAAAGACGGGUGAGAAUCCCGUCCACCGAAUGCCUAAGGUUUCCUGAGGAAGGCUCGUCCGCUCAGGGUUAGUCAGGACCUAAGCCGAGGCCGACAGGCGUAGGCGAUGGACAACAGGUUGAUAUUCCUGUACCACCUCUUUAUCGUUUGAGCAAUGGAGGGACGCAGAAGGAUAGAAGAAGCGUGCGAUUGGUUGUGCACGUCCAAGCAGUUAGGCUGAUAAGUAGGCAAAUCCGCUUAUCGUAAAGGCUGAGCUGUGAUGGGGAAGCUCCUUAUGGAGCGAAGUCUUUGAUUCCCCGCUGCCAAGAAAAGCUUCUAGCGAGAUAAAAGGUGCCUGUACCGCAAACCGACACAGGUAGGCGAGGAGAGAAUCCUAAGGUGUGCGAGAGAACUCUGGUUAAGGAACUCGGCAAAAUGACCCCGUAACUUCGGGAGAAGGGGUGCUUUCUUAACGGAAAGCCGCAGUGAAUAGGCCCAAGCGACUGUUUAGCAAAAACACAGCUCUCUGCGAAGCCGUAAGGCGAAGUAUAGGGGGUGACACCUGCCCGGUGCUGGAAGGUUAAGGAGAGGGGUUAGCGUAAGCGAAGCUCUGAACUGAAGCCCCAGUAAACGGCGGCCGUAACUAUAACGGUCCUAAGGUAGCGAAAUUCCUUGUCGGGUAAGUUCCGACCCGCACGAAAGGUGUAACGAUUUGGGCACUGUCUCAACCAGAGACUCGGUGAAAUUAUAGUACCUGUGAAGAUGCAGGUUACCCGCGACAGGACGGAAAGACCCCGUGGAGCUUUACUGUAGCCUGAUAUUGAAUUUUGGUACAGUUUGUACAGGAUAGGCGGGAGCCAUUGAAACCGGAGCGCUAGCUUCGGUGGAGGCGCUGGUGGGAUACCGCCCUGACUGUAUUGAAAUUCUAACCUACGGGUCUUAUCGACCCGGGAGACAGUGUCAGGUGGGCAGUUUGACUGGGGCGGUCGCCUCCUAAAGUGUAACGGAGGCGCCCAAAGGUUCCCUCAGAAUGGUUGGAAAUCAUUCGUAGAGUGCAAAGGCAUAAGGGAGCUUGACUGCGAGACCUACAAGUCGAGCAGGGACGAAAGUCGGGCUUAGUGAUCCGGUGGUUCCGCAUGGAAGGGCCAUCGCUCAACGGAUAAAAGCUACCCCGGGGAUAACAGGCUUAUCUCCCCCAAGAGUCCACAUCGACGGGGAGGUUUGGCACCUCGAUGUCGGCUCAUCGCAUCCUGGGGCUGUAGUCGGUCCCAAGGGUUGGGCUGUUCGCCCAUUAAAGCGGUACGCGAGCUGGGUUCAGAACGUCGUGAGACAGUUCGGUCCCUAUCCGUCGUGGGCGUAGGAAAUUUGAGAGGAGCUGUCCUUAGUACGAGAGGACCGGGAUGGACGCACCGCUGGUGUACCAGUUGUUCUGCCAAGGGCAUAGCUGGGUAGCUAUGUGCGGAAGGGAUAAGUGCUGAAAGCAUCUAAGCAUGAAGCCCCCCUCAAGAUGAGAUUUCCCAUAGCGUAAGCUAGUAAGAUCCCUGAAAGAUGAUCAGGUUGAUAGGUUCGAGGUGGAAGCAUGGUGACAUGUGGAGCUGACGAAUACUAAUAGAUCGAGGACUUAACCAUAUAA
rnacentral:rRNA from 1 species